GCUUGUCUCAAAGAUUAAGCCAUGCAUGUCUAAGUAUAAGCCUUUAUAUGGUGAGACUGCGAAUGGCUCAUUAAAUCAGAAACUGUUUAUUUGAUAGUGCCUACUACAUGGAUACCUGUAGUAAUUCUAGAGCUAAUACAUGCAAAAAGCCUGGACUUCUGGAACAGGCGUAUUUAUUAGAUCAAAACCAAACGGCUUCGGCCGUCUCAUUGGUGACUCUGAAUAACUUUGGGCUGAUCGUAUGGCCUUGUGCCGACGACGUUUCCUUCGAAGGUGUGCCCUAUCAACUGUCGACUGUGAUAUAGACGCUCACAGUGGUUUUGACGGGUAACGGGGAAUCAGGGUUCGAUUCCGGAGAGGGAGCCUUAAAAACGGCUACCACAUCCAAGGAAGGCAGCAGG
rnacentral:rRNA from 1 species